UGGGGAAUAUUGGACAAUGGGGGCAACCCUGAUCCAGCAAUGCCGCGUGUGUGAAGAAGGUCUUCGGAUUGUAAAGCACUUUCGACGGGGACGAUGAUGACGGUACCCGUAGAAGAAGCCCCGGCUAACUUCGUGCCAGCAGCCGCGGUAAUACGAAGGGGGCUAGCGUUGCUCGGAAUGACUGGGCGUAAAGGGCGUGUAGGCGGUUUACACAGUCAGAUGUGAAAUCCCCCGGGCUUAACCUGGGAGCUGCAUUUGAUACGUGUAGACUAGAGUGUGAGAGAGGGUUGUGGAAUUCCCAGUGUAGAGGUGAAAUUCGUAGAUAUUGGGAAGAACACCGGUGGCGAAGGCGGCAACCUGGCUCAUUACUGACGCUGAGGCGCGAAAGCGUGGGGAGCAAACAGGAUUAGAUACCCUGGUAGUCCACGCU
rnacentral:rRNA from 1 species